UUUUUUUAUUGUUCCCGUUAAAUUUAACAACUAAAGUAUACUACUAUUAGAUAAGCAAAAAAAAAAAAAAACAAUGCUCACUUUUAGGAAAAGCUAAGGACCAAAACUUCUCAAAGGUAGGUUUAAGGGACUAAUUUUAACCUACCCCAAGCAUAAGGGACCAUUUUUGUCACACUCUCGUGGAAUUGAUCAAUCCAAUAUAUUUUGCUCACAAAAUAAGGGGUAUGUAUGAGAUAAUAACAAUUCUAAAGGGGUCACUGUGACAUUCUCUUUAAAAUUUUGAGCGUUUUCUUGCAAGUCCAAAUCUCCAGGGAAUAUCUGCUUUAUAAGCAGAGGUAUUAUCAAUUGUAGAUUCAAGAUACCGUGGAUUCAAGAUACCGUCCCUUCUAAGUAAUCUGGAAACGUAGGUUUUGCGAUCGGCAGUUAGAGACGAUAGUGAGUUUCGUACUCUUUUUGUGUCCACAAGAAAUUCUGCCGAAGAGGUCUCUGUAUCCAUUGUUUUCUCGUGGAUUGCUGCAGAUUAUUUUCGUACAGGUGGUUCAAUGGAUCAUUUCUAUCAAGUUAAUCAAAACAUUGCCCUAAAUCACCCUGAAGGUGGCCUCCCUAGCACCCAAUCUUCUAAAAAUUCACUGAAGCAGAUGGGGUCUGAAGAGAAAA